rnacentral:lncRNA from 1 species
ACUUUAGAAGUAGAGUAAAGAUGGUGGAUUAGAGGCAGCAAAAGUUCAGACCUCCACAAACCCUUCUUUACCAAUCAAAAACACAAUGCUUUGAGGAGACUGAAAACCAAAUCUAACAACAGGACAGAGCCAGGGAACCCUCCUUCUGGAUCAAACUUAAAAGAACAAGAGGUCUUGGCCAUCAUCACUCUGACAGCUGGCAUGAAGAUCACCUCAACAGGAUAGGCAACUCUAACUAUGAGGUGCUUUAUGUUCCAGUAAACAACCUAUAGUUAUUACCAUUAUUAAAAAUACCAGUUGUUAAAGUAGCAGCAGAGAUGGAAACAGGUGGGUUGUGUGGGCUGAGAUGUCACUCUUCUGGAAUGUGCAGUGAA